rnacentral:rRNA from 1 species
GUUAAAAAGCUCGUAGUUGGAUUUCUGCAUGGAAGGAGCGGUCCACCCAUUGGGCGAGUUACUGCUACCUUUGGUGCAUCUUUCUGAGGACGUGUUCUUCACUUAAUUGUGAGGGCGCAGGACUCAGAACAUUUACUUUGAGGAAAUGAGAGUGUUUCAAGCAGGCAAAUGCCUUGAAUACGUUAGCAUGGAAUAAUAGCAUCGGACCAUCGUCCAGCUGUCGGUGUCUGGGCGAAGGUAAAGGUGAAUAGGGAUUGUUGGGGGCAUUCGUAUUUAACUGUCAGAGGUGAAAUUCUUGGAUUUGUUGAAGACGGACCACUGCGAAAGCAUCUGCCAAAGAUGUUCUCAUUGAUCAAGAACGAAAGUUAGGUGAUCGAAGACGAUCAGAUACCGUCCUAGUCUUAACCAUAAACUAUGCCGACUGGAGAUAGGAAGCGUUUAUCUUACGACUCUUUCUGCAUCUUGAGAGAAAUCAAAGUCUUUGGGUUCCGGGGGGAGUAUGGUCGCAAGGCUGAAACUUAAAGGAAUUGACGGAAGGGCACCACCAGGAGUGGAGCCUGCGGCUUAAUUUGACUCAACACGGGGAAACUUACCAGGUCCGGACAUAGGUAGGAUUGACAGACUGAGAGCUCUUUCUUGAUUCUAUGGGUGGUGGUGCAUGGCCGUUCUUAGUUGGUGGAGUGAUUUGUCUGGUUAAUUCCGUUAACGAACG